rnacentral:rRNA from 1 species
GAUGAACGCUAGCUACAGGCUUAACACAUGCAAGUCGCGGGGCAGCAUGGGGGUUGCUUGCAAUCCCCGAUGGCGACCGGCGCACGGGUGAGUAACGCGUAUCCAACCUGCCCUUCACCACGGGAUAACCCGGCGAAAGUCGGACUAAUACCGUAUGUUGUCCAUUGACGGCCUCCGAUUUGGACGAAAGGUUUGGCGGUGAAGGAUGGGGAUGCGUCCGAUUAGCUGGACGGCGGGGUGACGGCCCACCGUGGCGACGAUCGGUAGGGGUUCUGAGAGGAAGGUCCCCCACACUGGAACUGAGACACGGUCCAGACUACUACGGGAGGCAGCAGUGAGGAAUAUUGGUCAAUGGGCGUAAGCCUGAACCAGCCAAGUAGCGUGCAGGAGGACGGCCCUAUGGGUUGUAAACUGCUUUUAUGCGGGGAUAAAGUGGCCCACGUGUGGGUUUUUGCAGGUACCGCAUGAAUAAGGACCGGCUAAUUCCGUG